rnacentral:rRNA from 4 species
CAGACCUCUAAUCGGAAAAGACUACCCGCUG